rnacentral:rRNA from 1 species
AAUAGAUACCCGGUAGUCCUAGCCGUAAACGAUACUCGCUAGGUGUCGGCCACGGUGCGACCGUUGUCGGUGCCGUAGGGAAGCCGUGAAGCGAGCCACCUGGGAAGUACGGCCGCAAGGCUGAAACUUAAAGGAAUUGGCGGGGGAGCACCACAACGGGUGGAGCUUGCGGUUUAAUUGGAUUCAACGCCGGAAAUCUUACCGGGAUCGACAGCAACAUGAAGGCCAGGCUGAAGACUUUGCCGGAUUAGCUGAGAGGUGGUGCAUGGCCGUCGUCAGUUCGUACUGUGAAGCAUCCUGUUAAGUCAGGCAACGAGCGAGACCCACGCCCACAGUUGCCAGCGUACUCUCCGGAGUGACGGGUACACUGUGGGGACCGCCGCUGCUAAAGCGGAGGAAGGAAUGGGGCAACGGUAGGUCAGUAUGCCCCGAAUAUCCCGGGGCUACACGCGAGCUACAAUGGUUGGUACAAUGGGUAUCUACCCCGAAAGGGGAUGGAAACCUCCUAAAGCCAAUCUUAGUUCGGAUUGAGGGCUGCAACUCGCCCUCA